GUACUUGUAAGCGCGGCAAUGGCGGAGGAGCGCCGCUGAAAAACUUAUUACUUUUUCUGGGUCACAAAAUAAACUUUUAAGAUAUUUUCAGGCGAGAAUGUAGCUGUGUAAAGUUCAAGUAUCUGCUCGAUUUAUCAAGACAUCACAUAUUUGCAAAAAUGCUCCAACAUUUUCGGAGACGUCUAUUUUUUUUUUUUCAUGCUUUGUGGCAGCUUUUGAACAUCUGUGGCAUCUAUUAAUGUCAAAUCUAGCCUUUAUUUAACAACAUAAGCAAACUCUAUGUUACAAUGAUUGCACAGCCAUUAAGGAUCAAAUCAGCUCCUGAAAAAUGUUUUUUCUCCCUCUGCUUGCUUCUUACUGUCUUUGAGGCUCAGGACCAGCACUCCUGCUGUUGGACAGAAAGACAUCAACUCAGUGACUUGAGAUAUGACUACACUAUGCUGUUGCUGGUGACUCCCGUUAAUUCUACAAGACAUGCUGUAACACCAGGAGAGAUGAGUCCUCCGUCACAGAUGGUGUGGUCAGUGAAGAUGGUCGCCUGCAGGUUCAAGCUCAUUGCAUCUCCAACCCACAUCCACUGCCACUGUACUUAAGGGAAGUUAAAGGCUUUCGUCUGCAACUACAUUUGGAUCACCUCGAUCCAUGACAGUCAUUCAGGCAGUAAUGCCUGGACUGGAAACAAGCCAUCCUUAAAAUAAUACAACAUUCCAGCUCAUGUGUUGGAAUGGAAAACAAAUGUGUUGUUUAAAUUAGAGACUGCACUU
ensembl:lncRNA